GUGUUUGUUUUGGCAGCACAUAUACUAAAAUUGGAAUGAUACAGAAAAGAUUAGCAUGGCUCCUGCACAAGGAUGACAUGCAAAUUCGUGAAGCGUUCCAUUUUUUU
rnacentral:snRNA from 1 species